rnacentral:lncRNA from 1 species
UAAAACCCCACGUCGCCCCUAAAACCCCACGUCGCCCUUAAAACCCCACGUCGCCCUUAAAACCCCACGUCGCCCCUAAACCCCACGUCGCCCCUAAAACCCCACGUCGCCAUUAAAACCCCACGUCGCCACUGAACCAAACACAACAAGUCCCCUAUGAAACCAAACAGAGCGUAGCCACUACGGAUGUUGAUGGCAGUCAUCUAUCAUACACUAGAUGAAGGGGGCCCCAUUUUAAUCCAGUCUUAGAAGGCAGCAUGAUUCAUCUGUGCACAGAUAAGCCAAGCAGCUAGCGUUUGAUCACCAGGCGUUGUGUGUGCUCUGCAGACAGCCCAGGUGACCCCACGAUUAGAAAUAGAACUAUGUACCCAUGGGAUUGCUGUUGACCGUUGUUCAAAAAUGUAUCAAUGGGAAAUGUAAGGUUAAUUAAUAUUGUACAUUCCUCUAAUUAUCUUCUUCGAUGAACACUCUGAUCAAUCAAUGGCACAAAUAAUAGAUUUUAUUUCCGUGAAUUGUCAAGUUUGAAAAAAAAAUGACUUUAUUUUCAUGGUUGAAAUAUUUGUAUGAUAGUGUGAGAUUUGUCUAAAUAAUUGUGAUUAUGUGGAUAUAAUGUAGUGUACAAAAUGAAACUCGUUUUUUAAAAAAUGCAAUAGCAGACUUAAACCACAGGGUGGCACUGUUGGCCACCAGAGGAGUACCUGACAGUAUCCGUGUGUUUCCUGCCUCACCCUGAAGACAGUGAUGAUACACACAGAGCACGCUGUGGCUCUUCUAAAAAAAAUACUCUACUACAUUACUCUGAUCUGAAAGAAAUGACAAGGUGGGUGGCUGGAUCCAAUCUGAAUCGACAAAGUAGCGCGGAACAUUCACUUUAUUGCUUGAUUGAAAUUGAAUGGCAACGUUCCCGCAUUCAUGGAGACUGCUGCAUUCACGGCAAACACUGCAUACAUGUAUGUCGGCUCAAUUGGAAAAUGACUCUAAACUUUUAACACAGAUCUGCUGCGAUACUUCCGCGAUGCAGAUUGAAUCCGGAUCUAUGGCAAAGUACUUUCUAAACAGUCCAGAUGAAGGAAAGAUGAUUAUGAGAGAACAGAUUUUUAAGUGACUGAGAAUGAGAUAGAGUCAACGUGUUUCUGGCAGCCAACCCGGAUAUGAUUUAUAAUGUUUGUUACAGGCUUUGACCAACCCAGAUAUGAUUUAUAAUGUUUGUUACAGGCUUUGACCAACCCAGAUAUGAUUUAUAAUGUUUGUUACAGGCUUUGACCAACCCAGAUAUGAUUUAUAAUGUUUGUUACAGGCUUUGACCAACCCAGAUAUGAUUUAUAAUGUUUGUUACAGGCUUUGACCAACCCAGAUAUGAUUUAUAAUGUUUGUUACAGGCUUUGACCAACCCAGAUAUGAUUUAUAAUGUUUGUUACAGGCUUUGGCCAACCCAGAUAUGAUUUAUAAUGUUUGUUACAGGCUUUGACCAACCCAGAUAUGAUUUAUAAUGUUUGUUACAGGCUUUGACCAACCCAGAUAUGCUGUAUAAUGUUUGUUACAGGCUUUGGCCAACCUGUUGUCAUUGCCUGAACAGCAUCUCUGUGUCUGUCUGUUAGCCUUUUGUUAAAGUCGUCUUUAUGGAGACAUUAUGUAGAGUUGCUAUGUAGCCCGUGAGCACUGUACCGCAGGUAGAGACCCUGGAGUUGAACAUCUGAUCAAACAGAAAACCAGCGACAGAACAUGUCUUGUCUGUCUCAGUGGUGCAAAAUUCUGGUUAACUUGAACAAAAUUCCCCAGGUUUUUCAGAAUACGGUUUGGAGGAUUCCCGUAUUGCCUGGUUUUUCUUCACUUCAUUCCGGGGAUUCCCGUAUUGCCUAGUUUUUCUUCACUUCAUGGGGAAAUGUUUCAACCCUAGAAGUGAUAGAUCUCCAAUGGUGGCAGCCAAUACACAAUACCCAGCACAGGAUAUAAAGUCCAGGCACAAACAGAGAACGCCUCUAUAGAUUUCAGUAAAGCACAGCAAUAAAGAGCACAUCUGAAGCACAACUGUGGAAGCACAAAGGAAGUGAGAUAACAGAAUAGAUUAUUUGCAUUGUUACCAACAAAUAGAGCACAGCAUUUACUCAUAGCAUUGUAUUGACUGGUGGAUCACAACCACAGGUUGCUAGGGACUAAAUGGUCAUGUUGGAAGACGAGCAAGCAGAUCUCUUAGCUACAUACCCAUACAGGCUACAGUACGCGUAUGGGCUAAUGUGUACAGCAGCAACUCACAGGUUGUAUGCCAAAUGGCAUUCUGUUCCCUAUAUAAUGCAUUUGGGACGUAAACACAGGAAACCUAAACUCUUUCUCCCUUUAAAAAAGCCAUGCUACGGAUUGUAUAGCACUUAAACAGACUAACAUGGUUCAUUAAUUAAUUAUACUAAAAGAUCAUAGAGGAAAUGAUUACCAAUUAGAGAGCUAGAAUCACUUGAACUAUUAUUGAUGGAAGGAGGCCAGGGAGGGAGGGAGG